rnacentral:lncRNA from 1 species
CAAAGCAAUUGAACUAAUAGAGGUGGGUUCAAAUACAAGGAAAGACUGGUUAUAUGAAUUGGAUCUAUUAGUAUCACAAUUGACUGUACUCUAGUUAUCUGAAAUCAAUUAUCAAACUACAAAACACCAAGGCUUACUACUUCCAUCUUAAUUCAACACAUAAUCCAUUCUAUGAAUAUCAAUUCAACAAUACUUUCAUAUUCUUAUCGGUUCAUCUCCCACUUACUCUCUUUGCAGUUUAUAUAUAUUCAAUUACUGAUCUCUUUCUUACUUAUUAUAUUCAGUUUCUCAAUUCAUCACACAAAAUUCAAUAUCUUCACUUAAUAUAAUACAAUUCGAUAAUCUCAAUUCUCAAGGUCAUAGAUUUUCUCCAAAACGGUCAGUCCAAAGUCAUAUUCCAUAAUAUUCUAAU